GAACGUUCUAUUUACAGCAGUAUGUAUCACCGUGAAAUCAUUAUUGAAAACGUCUGAGGGUCAGUCAUGUUCAGGUUUUCAGUUUUGGUCGGAAUUUCACUGUUGGUUUACGGGGCCUCCUCAAAGCCACGCAGCACAUGGGGAGAAGUAGGCGAUACCGCCGUCCAAGUAACUUUAAUGUCUGAGGGACAGGACAAGCUGCCUUUGGGCCUGAAGGAGGUCGAACCUCCACAGGACAUGGACGUUGCCGACUUCGACAUCGACCCCUCCAUGCUCAUCUGGAAGGCGGUGAUGGAGUCUCGCCGGCGGGCCAUACAGGAGUCCCGCACCCACGUAAUGCUUGCGAAGGACCACGGUGCCCGCUACCACCAUGCCGAGGCUCAGCUUGCCCAGGCCCUUCAGCCAGAUGAUGCCCCGCUCCCACCCGCAGACCCAGAGCCUGGCAUGCGGUACCACCAGGCCGAACCAGACAUGGACGAGGUCUACCACGGCUUCCCCGACCCGGCCGGACCAGCUGACCGGUGGGUGGCUGAGGACCGUGACCCCAUGACCCAGGAGCACGGUGCGGAAGACUGGAGGGGGAGCUACGACCGGGCAGAGCUGGACCUGGACGAGAUCUACCACGGAGACAUGGGGCAAAGCCAGGUGGAGACCCAGCUGGAGCCGGCACAGGAUGACUCCGCCGUGCCUCGACAGAAGGAGCGCUCUCUCCCAGAGGAGGACCUGGACGAUCUCUACCACAAGUACUAAUCCAGUCAUCUCCUCGGAGGUGUGAAUUACAAUGUUGGAGCGUGGCAUUAAAAGAGAGAUUUGAUUUUGUAAAAAAAAUAUCUUUAUUUAUAAUUCUCCCUCCAAUAUUGACAAUAAAAAUAGUCACUGAUUGUGAAUUGUGUGUUGC
rnacentral:lncRNA from 1 species